GGGUUGUGAGGUUAAGCGACUAAGCGUACACGGUGGAUGCCCUGGCAGUCAGAGGCGAUGAAGGACGUGCUAAUCUGCGAAAAGCGUCGGUAAGGUGAUAUGAACCGUUAUAGCCGGCGAUGUCCGAAUGGGGAAACCCAGUGCAAUUCGUUGCACUAUCGUUUGAUGAAUACAUAGUCAAACGAGGCGAACCGGGGGAACUGAAACAUCUAAGUACCCCGAGGAAAAGAAAUCAACCGAGAUUCCCCCAGUAGCGGCGAGCGAACGGGGAGCAGCCCGGAGUCUGAAUCAGCUUGUGUGUUAGUGGAAGCGUCUGGAAAGUCGCAGGGUACAGGGUGAUACUCCCGUACACUAAAGCACACAGGCUGUGAACUCGAAGAGUAGGGCGGGACACGUGGUAUCCUGUCUGAAUAUGGGGGGACCAUCCUCCAAGGCUAAAUACUCCUGACUGACCGAUAGUGAACCAGUACCGUGAGGGAAAGGCGAAAAGAACCCCGGCGAGGGGAGUGAAAAAGAACCUGAAACCGUGUACGUACAAGCAGUAGGAGCCUCUUUAUGGGGUGACUGCGUACCUUUUGUAUAAUGGGUCAGCGACUUAUAUUCUGUAGCAAGGUUAACCGUAUAGGGGAGCCGCAGGGAAACCGAGUCUUAACUGGGCGUUAAGUUGCAGGGUAUAGACCCGAAACCCGGUGAUCUAGCCAUGGGCAGGUUGAAGGUUGGGUAACACUAACUGGAGGACCGAACCGACUAAUGUUGAAAAAUUAGCGGAUGACUUGUGGCUGGGGGUGAAAGGCCAAUCAAACCGGGAGAUAGCUGGUUCUCCCCGAAAGCUAUUUAGGUAGCGCCUCGUGAAUUCAUCUUCGGGGGUAGAGCACUGUUUCGGCUAGGGGGUCAUCCCGACUUACCAACCCGAUGCAAACUACGAAUACCGAAGAAUGUUAUCACGGGAGACACACGGCGGGUGCUAACGUCCGUCGUGAAGAGGGAAACAACCCAGACCGCCAGCUAAGGUCCCAAAGUCAUGGUUAAGUGGGAAACGAUGUGGGAAGGCCCAGACAGCCAGGAUGUUGGCUUAGAAGCAGCCAUCAUUUAAAGAAAGCGUAAUAGCUCACUGGUCGAGUCGGCCUGCGCGGAAGAUGUAACGGGGCUAAACCAUGCACCGAAGCUGCGGCAGCGACACUAUGUGUUGUUGGGUAGGGGAGCGUUCUGUAAGCCGUUGAAGGUGGCCUGUGAGGGUUGCUGGAGGUAUCAGAAGUGCGAAUGCUGACAUAAGUAACGAUAAUGCGGGUGAAAAACCCGCACGCCGGAAGACCAAGGGUUCCUGUCCAACGUUAAUCGGGGCAGGGUGAGUCGACCCCUAAGGCGAGGCCGAAAGGCGUAGUCGAUGGGAAACAGGUUAAUAUUCCUGUACUCGGUGUUACUGCGAAGGGGGGACGGAGAAGGCUAUGUUGGCCGGGCGACGGUUGUCCCGGUUUAAGCAUGUAGGCGGAUGUUCCAGGUAAAUCCGGAACGUUAUCAACGCUGAGGUGUGAUGACGAGGCACUACGGUGCUGAAGUGACAAAUGCCCUGCUUCCAGGAAAAGCCUCUAAGCAUCAGGUAACAUCAAAUCGUACCCCAAACCGACACAGGUGGUCAGGUAGAGAAUACCAAGGCGCUUGAGAGAACUCGGGUGAAGGAACUAGGCAAAAUGGUGCCGUAACUUCGGGAGAAGGCACGCUGAUAUGUAGGUGAAGUGGUUUACCCAUGGAGCUGAAAUCAGUCGAAGAUACCAGCUGGCUGCAACUGUUUAUUAAAAACACAGCACUGUGCAAACACGAAAGUGGACGUAUACGGUGUGACGCCUGCCCGGUGCCGGAAGGUUAAUUGAUGGGGUUAUCCGUAAGGAGAAGCUCUUGAUCGAAGCCCCGGUAAACGGCGGCCGUAACUAUAACGGUCCUAAGGUAGCGAAAUUCCUUGUCGGGUAAGUUCCGACCUGCACGAAUGGCGUAAUGAUGGCCAGGCUGUCUCCACCCGAGACUCAGUGAAAUUGAACUCGCUGUGAAGAUGCAGUGUACCCGCGGCAAGACGGAAAGACCCCGUGAACCUUUACUAUAGCUUGACACUGAACACUGGUCCUUGAUGUGUAGGAUAGGUGGGAGGCUUUGAAGCGUGGACGCCAGUCUGCGUGGAGCCAUCCUUGAAAUACCACCCUUUAAUGGCUGGUGUUCUAACGUGGGCCCGUUAUCCGGGUUGCGGACAGUGUCUGGUGGGUAGUUUGACUGGGGCGGUCUCCUCCUAAAGAGUAACGGAGGAGCACGAAGGUCAGCUAAUCCUGGUCGGACAUCAGGAGGUUAGUGCAAUGGCAUAAGCUGGCUUGACUGCGAGCGUGACGGCGCGAGCAGGUGCGAAAGCAGGUCAUAGUGAUCCGGUGGUUCUGAAUGGAAGGGCCAUCGCUCAACGGAUAAAAGGUACUCCGGGGAUAACAGGCUGAUACCGCCCAAGAGUUCAUAUCGACGGCGGUGUUUGGCACCUCGAUGUCGGCUCAUCACAUCCUGGGGCUGAAGUAGGUCCCAAGGGUAUGGCUGUUCGCCAUUUAAAGUGGUACGCGAGCUGGGUUUAGAACGUCGUGAGACAGUUCGGUCCCUAUCUGCCGUGGGCGCUGGAGAAUUGAGGGGGGCUGCUCCUAGUACGAGAGGACCGGAGUGGACGCAUCACUGGUGUUCGGGUUGUCAUGCCAAUGGCAUUGCCCGGUAGCUAAAUGCGGAAGAGAUAAGUGCUGAAAGCAUCUAAGCACGAAACUUGCCCCGAGAUGAGUUCUCCCUGACUCCUUGAGAGUCCUGAAGGAACGUUGAAGACGACGACGUUGAUAGGCCGGGUGUGUAAGCGCAGCGAUGCGUUGAGCUAACCGGUACUAAUGAACCGUGAGGCUUAACCUUACAACGCCGAAG
rnacentral:rRNA from 1 species